GCCCGAGUGGCGGAACUGGUAGACGCACAGGACUUAAAAUCCUGGGGUUUGAUACAAACCGUGUCAGUUCAAGUCUGACCUCGGGCA
rnacentral:tRNA from 1 species